rnacentral:rRNA from 1 species
GGGCCCGCACAAGCGGCGGAGCAUGCGGAUUAAUUCGAUGCAACGCGAAGAACCUUACCAAGGCUUGACAUAUAGAGGAAAAGUGCAGAAAUGCACUCCCCGCAAGGUCUCUAUACAGGUGGUGCAUGGUUGUCGUCAGCUCGUGUCGUGAGAUGUUGGGUUAAGUCCCGCAACGAGCGCAACCCUCGUCCUAUGUUGCCAGCACGUAAUGGUGGGAACUCAUGGGAUACUGCCGGGGUCAACUCGGAGGAAGGUGGGGAUGACGUCAAAUCAUCAUGCCCCUUAUGUCUUGGGCUUCACGCAUGCUACAAUGGCCGGUACAGAGGGCUGCAAUACCGUAAGGUGGAGCGAAUCCUUAAAAGAUACCUCAGUUCGGAUUGCACUCUGCAACUCGAGUGCAUG